rnacentral:rRNA from 1 species
GGCUUACCAAGGCAACGAUGCAUAGCCGACCUGAGAGGGUGAUCGGCCACACUGGAACUGAGACACGGUCCAGACUCCUACGGGAGGCAGCAGUAGGGAAUCUUCCGCAAUGGGCGAAAGCCUGACGGAGCAACGCCGCGUUAGUGAUGAAGGUCUUCGGAUCGUAAAACUCUGUUAUUAGGGAAGAACAUAUGUGUAAGUAACUGUGCAC